rnacentral:rRNA from 1 species
GACGAACCGUGCGAACGUUAUUCGGAAUCACUGGGCUUAAAGCGCGUGUAGGCGGAUCGCCGCGUCGGCUGCUGAAAUCCCCCGGCUCAACCGGGGAACGGGCACCGAUACGGGCGGUCUGGAGGGGGGUAGGGGGGCCUGGAACUUCCGGUGGAGCGGUGAAAUGCGUUGAGAUCGGAAGGAACGCCCGUGGCGAAAGCGAGGCCCUGGACCCUUACUGACGCUGAGACGCGAAAGCCAGGGGAGCGAACGGG